rnacentral:rRNA from 1 species
GAUGAACGCUGGCGGCGUGCCUAAUACAUGCCAGUCGAGCGAACGGACGAGAAGCUUGCUUCUCUGAUGUUAGCGGCGGACGGGUGAGUAACACGUGGAUAACCUACCUAUAAGACUGGGAUAACUUCGGGAAACCGGAGCUAAUACCGGAUAAUAUUUUGAACCGCAUGGUUCAAAAGUGAAAGACGGUCUUGCUGUCACUUAUAGAUGGAUCCGCGCUGCAUUAGCUAGUUGGUAAGGUAACGGCUUACCAAGGCAACGAUGCAUAGCCGACCUGAGAGGGGGAUCGGCCACACGGGAACUGAGACACGGUCCAGACUCCUACGGGAGGCAGCAGUAGGGAAUCUUCCGCAAUGGGCGAAAGCCUGACGGAGCAACGCCGCGUGAGUGAUGAAGGUCUUCGGAUCGUAAAACGCUGUUAUUAGGGAAGAACAUAUGUGUAAGUAACUGUGCACAUCUUGACGGUACCUAAGCAGAAAGCCACGGCUAACUACGU